rnacentral:misc_RNA from 1 species
AUACGUCAUCCCUCUCGGGAAACCGCGAUCCACAUGUCAAGGGUUGGUAAGGUUCUGCGCGUUGCAUCGAAUUAAUCCACAUGCUCCGCCGCUUGUGCGGGCCCCCGUCAAUUCCUUUGAGUUUUAGCCUUGCGGCCGUACUCCCCAGGCGGGGCGCUUAAUGCGUUAGCUACGGCACGGAUCCCGUGGAAGGAAACCCACACCUAGCGCCCACCGUUUACGGCGUGGACUAC